UGGGGAAUAUUGCACAAUGGGCGAAAGCCUGAUGCAGCAACGCCGCGUGAGUGAUGAAGGCCUUCGGGUUGUAAAGCUCUGUCUUCUGGGACGAUAAUGACGGUACCAGAGGAGGAAGCCACGGCUAACUACGUGCCAGCAGCCGCGGUAAUACGUAGGUGGCAAGCGUUGUCCGGAUUUACUGGGCGUAAAGGAUGCGUAGGCGGAUACUUAAGUCAGAUGUGAAAAUCCCGGGCUUAACUUGGGAACUGCAUUUGAAACUGGGUAUCGAGAGGGCGGGAGAGGAAAGUGGAAUUCCUAGUGUAGCGGUGAAAUGCGUAGAGAUUAGGAAGAACACCAGUGGCGAAGGCGACUUUCUGGACCGUAACUGACGCUGAGGCAUGAAAGCGUGGGGAGCAAACA
rnacentral:rRNA from 1 species